UUCCUUCUCCUCAAUCUCAUCUCAUUUUCUUCCCUCUCUUCUCUAAAUAGCCACCACCGCCACCACCAUCACUAGAAGAAAUCUCUUGUAUCCAACCCAUACCCAGUCGUCAUAUAACCAACCACCAUCGUCCCUCGUGCCCAACUCGUACCUUGUCGUCGUCGAACAGUCCGUCGACCUCCGUUGUGCUCGUCACCACCAUCGAACAUAAAUGGCGAGUCAAGAUUUUCGGAGUUUUGGUAAAUAUAAUCUCAAAAAGUCCAACACUUUUAGGGUUAAAUGUGGGACGUGGAAUUCGUGUGAAGUUAAAGGCUUUGAAGGCAAAAUAGGGAUGGAGAUUUCUUCCAUUCAAUCAAGUUUUUGAUACAAUGUUACACGAGUUUUGCCAUAAUCUUCAUGGUCCUCACAAUGCCAAUCUCUACAAGCUUUGAGAUGAGCUUUGAAAGGAAGGAAGUUGCAUUACGUCAUAGAGAGGUAUUUGCAACAUCAAAUACGUAACAUUUAUGAUCGUGAACAUAAGGAAGUUUUUCUUCGCAUAUUUUCUUGUCCAAAGAUCACCAUUUGUGCAUCCAAUUGCAGUUCUUCAGCUCAUUUGGUUUGUGUAGAUUUUGGUUUCCAUUAAUAUUUUAAUUCUGCAUUGCUAAAUACAAUAUAUCACUCUAUUCAUAAAAAUAUUGGAAUAACUUAUCAAGAAAGCUAUGUUUUCCUCUCCCUUUCUCAUGUCCAAUUGUUGAUAACCUUGGCUUUUUCCUUUUCAUUUUCAUGUUUUGUAGCUAUUUACCCAAGGCAUACUGGAAAUGUUUUUCAUGUAAUAGCUAAUAGGAUGCCAUAUUUAUUAUUUAUUCACAAAGUUCAUUUGUUGUUUGCAGUCUGUUGCCACAUUUUUCAGUCAGGUUAUGGUAGCAAUAGGAGAAAAUACCGUGGGCUCUGGUGUGGUGUUUUUUUUUUUAAGAUUUAAUAAAAAAAAUCUUUGUGAUAAUGUGGUUUGCUUUGACCUUUUUUUUUUUUCAAAUAAGCUGGAUUCUGUUUUUUACAUUUUUAUUUUGUUUGUGAUAUGUGUACUGAAUUAUGCAGGUUUUGGUUGCGAGGACUUGUAAUGGUAUAUUUGUAUAUAUUUUUUACUUUAGUAGAGGUAGCUUGACAUUGAGUUUAGGGAAUCUGCUAAUGAAUAGAGACGGAGAAUGAUUGAAGUCAUAUCGGGUUGAAAGCUAAGCAACUGUGUAGAUAACCAGACGACCGUUGAAGGUUGAAGCACUAGAAGA